GAUUCGUAAUAUGGAUUUAAGAACUGUGCUCGAUAUUGACGGAUAUGGGAACCCCUGCGGUGGUAAAUGCUCUGCACGAGCUGCGAAACUACCGAAAAUGCUUAUUGUUCGAACGAAACGUUGCAGUUCUUCUUUGCUGACUCAUUGCAGUUGGUGUUGUGUGCCCGAUUACUCGAGUAUUAUCCAACACAAUUUUGAAAUUUUUCUUGUUCCGAAGAAGAAGAAGAAGAA
rnacentral:lncRNA from 1 species